UGAGCAGAGCAUGCCCAGCCCUCAGCUCCAGCCACAUCCCAAGUGAAGCACUGUGGUCCACCGGCUGCAAGCAGAAAACUACUGCCAGGCUGGAUUCGGACUAUUGCCCUUAUUUCCCACCUGCCAGGCCCAUCGUUGGCUGGCAGCCUUGAAUGCUGUCCUGGACC
ensembl:misc_RNA